rnacentral:rRNA from 1 species
UACGUAGGCAGCGAGCGUUGUUCGGAAUUACUGGGCGUAAAGAGUGUGUAGGCGGUGCUCUAAGUUCGGUGUGAAAUCUCCCGCUUAACUGGGAGGGUGCGCCGGAAACUGGAGUGCUCGAGCGUGGGAGAGGAAAGCGGAAUUCCUGGUGUAGCGGUGAAAUGCGUAGAUAUCAGGAGGAACACCUGCGGUGUAGACGGCUUUCUGGACCAUUGCUAACGCUGAGACACGAAAGCGUGGGUAGCAAACAGG